rnacentral:rRNA from 1 species
GACGAACGCUGGCGGCGUGCCUAAUACAUGCAAGUAGAACGCUGAAGGAAGGAGCUUGCUCUUUCUGGAUGAGUUGCGAACGGGUGAGUAACGCGUAGGUAACCUGCCUGGUAGCGGGGGAUAACUAUUGGAAACGAUAGCUAAUACCGCAUAAAAUUGAUUAUUGCAUGAUAGUCAAUUAAAAGGUGCAACUGCACCACUACCAGAUGGACCUGCGUUGUAUUAGCUAGUUGGUGGGGUAACGGCUCACCAAGGCGACGAUACAUAGCCGACCUGAGAGGGUGAGCGGCCACACUGGGACUGAGACACGGCCCAGACGCCUUCGGGAGGCAGCAGUAGGGAAUCUUCGGCAAGGGACGGAAGUCUGACCGAGCAACGCCGCGUGAGUGAAGAAGGUUUUCGGAUCGUAAAGCUCGGUUGUAAGAGAAGAACGAGUGUGAGAGUGGAAAGUUCACACUGUGACGGUAUCUUACCAGAAAGGGACGGCUAACUACGUG